rnacentral:rRNA from 1 species
GGUAACGGCUCACCGAGGCUACGAUGUCUAGGGGUUCUGAGAGGAAGGCCCCCCACAUUGGGACUGGGACACGGCCCAAACUCCUACGGGAGGCAGCAGUGAGGAAUAUUGGUCAAUGGACGGAAGUCUGAACCAGCCAUGCCGCGUGAAGGAAGACUGCCCUAUGGGUUGUAAACUUCUUUUGCAGCAGAGCAAUAAGGCGUACGCGUACGCCGAUGAGAGUAUGUUGCGAAUAAGCAUCGGCUAACUCCGUGCCAGCAGCCGCGGUAAUACGGAGGAUGCGAGCGUUAUCCGGAUUUAUUGGGUUUAAAGGGUGCGUAGGCUGUUUUGUAAGUCAGCGGUGAAAGACCGGGGCCCAACUCCGGAAGUGCCGUUGAUACUGCAUUGCUAGAGUUCCCCUGCCGUGGGAGGAAUGAGUGGUGUAGCGGUGAAAUGCAUAGAUAUCACUCAGAACACCGAUUGCGAAGGCAUCUCACGAAGAGGCAACUGACGCUGAGGCACGAAAGCGUGGGGAUCAAACAGGAUUAGAUACCCUGGUAGUCCACGCUGUAAACGAUGAUGACUAGCUGCCGGCGAUACACUGUCGGUGGCCCAGCGAAAGCGAUA